CCAAUCCGGUUGCCUCACCGUUGAUCAAUUUUCUUCAGGCGCUGCACAGAUGCAGUGAUCUACUCAUAUUGGGAUGGGUUUCUUGAACGCUCCACUCUUGAUCUUGGGUGUAAUUUGACAAAAUGUAGGAAUUGAGCAUACCUAUGUUAAAUAGAUUCAGGUCAUUUUCAUGGAUAGCCGGUUUUAGAUGAAUGCUGUGAAGUUAGUCUCGUGUACCUGAAAGUGAUCUAUCCGAAUGUUAAAUACAGAUUAGUGAGCGCCACUGAGGCGUAUAAAUGAACGGUGGGCGCGCUUUCAUUGUUGACGCUCACCAACGUGCGCGCACUUGCCAACGUCAAGUUUCCGCCCUCUUCCCUUGCUGGCCAAUCACUUUUCUUCCCCAUCUACAACAUUCUUCCGGUAUUAUGGCGGCUUGCAGUUUAAUGGACAACGAGUGUGAAAUGUUAUGAUUAUGAAAAGUUUUCGGUGGAUUAAGGAUGCUCGUGACAGUGAUGUUAUAAUUUCCCGUCUGUCGGCCGUCAGUUCGAGCAGUGCUUCACUGUCAGAGGCGCUUUAGCAAGGCAUCCCCUGCUCUGUCUGAGCGUGUGCAGGUGUUUGAAUCUCUCAGAGAGAGGCAGGGACAGCAGAGGACAAGCGGCGCCACGAAACAGGCCUUCAGCGUCCGAUUGGCUGAUGGCAGGACGGUGAAUGGCACCACAGGCGUGACCACGCCCUCAAUCAUCGCUCAGAACGCACGUGUGAAAGGUGCAGGGUGAAUGGAGAGCUGUGGGAGCUGCUUCGCCCCCUGGAGGCUGACUGUGAACUACAGCUGCUAGGCUUCGACACCACAGAGGGCAAACGGGUACUUACUAAGGACAUUCUCAUUCAUCUAACCCAAUAGAUCUUACAUGUAGAGCAGUCAGAGGCAGAGGUUGACCUCUUCUCUCUCUUAUCCCCUCUCGCUCAUCUCUUUCAUUUUCUCCCCAGGCUGUGUGGAUGACAGGAGCGUGUGUUGUGGGGUGGGUGUUAGAGAGGGUGUUUGGGGUGGAUGUGUGCAGAGAGGGCGUGUCGGAGUCCGGCCUCUACUGUGACCACCUCCUGGAGAACAGUGGCCUAUCCCUAGCUGAGCUAGAGGAGAGAUGUAAGGAGGCCGCUGGCCAGAGGCUUCCUCUCUCCAGACUGGAGCUGAACAGGCAGGAAGUUACAGAGCUCUUCCAGGUCAGAGGUCAUUGGCUCUGUUUGUCUGUCAUUGGCUGCAUCUGAAAUGGCAUCCUAUUUCUUAUGUAGUUCCCUAUAUAGGGAAUAGGGUGCCAUUUAGGACAUAGCCAUUGUGGUUGGAAACAGGUAUUUGGAUGAAUACCAGUACUAUUUUGUACCUUACCUGCACUAAAUGUAUUUGGCUUAGAGUGUUUGGUUAGUCGGUGUAAUGACGCAGGGAUAGUAUGAAGUUGGUACAGAAUGAGACAUUAGAUGGCAUUAUGGUUAUGGCCCACAGUAUUCUAGAAUGUAGGUGUGUUGCUCUGCUCCUACCUGUAGCAGCUUGUGGAAUUGACUGUUUACAUGUGUUGUCUUUAACCUCUGACUGUAAUGGUCAUCUAGGAAUGUCUGUAAUUCAAGGGGUGUGGCCGUGAUACACUAGUGUGUAUGUGUACUAACUGAGAGUGUUCUGUCAUCUAGGACAAUGCUCUGAGACUCCAGUUGAUUGAAGAACAGAUGAGUGGUCCUACUGUCACAGUCUACAGGUUUGUUGCUCAACAUCUCACAGCCUGAUACAACACAGUCAUGGUCUGUUUUUAAGGAGAAAUGACUGUACACUAGGAUGACAUGUCCAUCUCUUCCUGUUCCGUGUGUGGGUCAGGUGUGGAGACAGCAUAGGAGUCUGCAAUGGUCCUCUCCUCCCUCACACUGGUCUCCUCAAGGUCUUCAAGAUGCUGCAGGUAUGUAUGUUUGUUUGUGUGUCAACCUGCCUGCCUUCCUGUCUGCAUAUCAGUUCAGUGUGGAAUAUACAGUUCUUGUCUUCUCCUCAUGAC
ensembl:lncRNA